GACGAACGCUGGCGGCGUGCUUAACACAUGCAAGUCGAACGGAAAGGCCCUGCUUUUGUGGGGUGCUCGAGUGGCGAACGGGUGAGUAACACGUGAGUAACCUGCCCUUGACUUUGGGAUAACUUCAGGAAACUGGGGCUAAUACCGGAUAGGAGCUCCUGCUGCAUGGUGGGGGUUGGAAAGUUUCGGCGGUUGGGGAUGGACUCGCGGCUUAUCAGCUUGUUGGUGGGGUAGUGGCUUACCAAGGCUUUGACGGGUAGCCGGCCUGAGAGGGUGACCGGCCACAUUGGGACUGAGAUACGGAGCAGACUGCUACGGGAGGCAGCAGGGGGGAAUAUUGCACAAUGGGCGGAAGCCUGAUGCAGCAACGCCGCGUGCGGGAUGACGGCCUUCGGGCUGUAAACCGCUUUCGCCUGUGACGAAGAGUGAGUGACGGUAAUGGGUAAAGAAGCACCGGCUAACUACGUG
rnacentral:rRNA from 1 species